rnacentral:rRNA from 1 species
GACCCCAGGUCAGGCGGGGUUACCCGCUGAAUUUAAGCAUAUCAAUAAGCGGAGGAAAAG